rnacentral:rRNA from 1 species
AACCGAGAUUCCCCCAGUAGCGGCGAGCGAACGGGGAGGAGCCCAGAGCCUGAAUCAGCAUGUGUGUUAGUGGAAGCGUCUGGAAAGGCGCGCGAUACAGGGUGACAGCCCCGUACACAAAAGCGCAUGUGCUGUGAGCUCGAUGAGUAGGGCGGGACACGUGGUAUCCUGUCUGAAUAUGGGGGGACCAUCCUCCAAGGCUAAAUACUCCUGACUGACCGAUAGUGAACCAGUACCGUGAGGGAAAGGCGAAAAGAACCCCGGCGAGGGGAGUGAAAAAGAACCUGAAACCGUGUACGUACAAGCAGUGGGAGCAC